rnacentral:piRNA from 1 species
UAUAAAUUCGAUGAUGUGAUGUUUC